GUCUAUAGCCAUACCACCCUGAAUGCACCUGAUCCGGUCUGAUCUCAGAAGCUAAGCAGGGUCGGGCCUGGUUAGUACUUGGAUGGGAGAAAUGCCAGACAGACCUGAGGGCUCAGUCC
rnacentral:rRNA from 1 species